UACGUAGGGUGCGAGCGUUAAUCGGAAUUACUGGGCGUAAAGCGUGCGCAGGCGGUUCGUUAAGUCUGAUGUGAAAGCCCCGGGCUCAACCUGGGAAUGGCAUUGGAAACUAGCGGGCUCGAGUGUGGCAGAGGGGGGUGGAAUUCCACGUGUAGCAGUGAAAUGCGUAGAGAUGUGGAGGAACACCGAUGGCGAAGGCGGCUCUCUGGGACGGUACUGACGCUGAGACGCGAAAGCGUGGGGAGCGAACAGG
rnacentral:rRNA from 1 species